UAGGGAAUAUUGCACAAUGGGGGAAACCAUGAUGCAGCGACGCCGCGUGAAGGAAGAAGUAUCUCGGUAUGUAAACUUCUAUCAGCAGGGAAGACAAUGACGGUACCUGACUAAGAAGCCCCGGCUAACUACGUGCC
rnacentral:rRNA from 1 species